UACGGGGGGGGCAAGCGUUGCUCGGAAUUACUGGGCGUAAAGGGCUCGUAGGCGGCCAACUAAGUCAGACGUGAAAUCCCUCAGCUUAACUGGGGAACUGCGUCUGAUACUGGAUGGCUUGGAUCCGGAAGAGGGAUGCGGAAUUCCAGGUGUAGCGGUGAAAUGCGUAGAUAUCUGGAGGAACACCGGUGGCGAAGGCGGCAUCCUGGGCCGGUAUUGACGCUGAGGAGCGAAAGCCAGGGGAGCAAACGGG
rnacentral:rRNA from 1 species